rnacentral:tRNA from 1 species
GUAUAGCUCAGUGGCACAGCACUUGCCUGGAAAGCACGAGGUCCUGAGUUUAAUUCUUGGUAC